UAUGUGAUCGUCUCUCGCAUAUCAAUAAGCGGAGGAAAAGUACUACCUACGCUUAGGAUGUUGACACACGCGCGUGCUCGACUCUAUACAUGACUCUGUGCAUAUCAAUAAGCGGAGGAAAAGUAAAUGCUGUAUACCUACGCUUAGGAUGUUGACACACGCGCGUGCUCGACUCUAUACAUGACUCUGUGCAUAUCAAUAAGCGGAGGAAAAGGAGUAUACCUACGCUUAGGAUGUUGACACACGCGCGUGCUCGGCUCUAUACAUGACUCUGUGCAUAUCAAUAAGCGGAGGAAAAGAAACUAACAAGGAUUCCCUUAGUAACGGCGAGUGAAGCGGGAAGAGCUCAAAUUUGAAAUCUUCGAGGUUUUACCUUGACGAAUUGUAGUUUAUAGAAGUGUUUUCUGUUAGUAGGAGUAGUAAAAGUUCUUUGGAAUAGGACAUCAUAGAGGGUGAGAAUCCCAGUAUUUGGUCAUUCCUCUAGCUUUGUGAUACACUUUCAACGAGUCGGAUUGUUUGGGAAUGCAGUCCAAAAUGGGUGGUAAAUUUCAUCUAAAGCUAAAUAUUGGCGAGAGACCGAUAGCGAACAAGUACCGUGAGGGAAAGAUGAAAAGAACUUUGAAAAGAGAGUUAAACAGUACGUGAAAUUGUCAAAAGGGAAGCGUUUGACACCAGUGUUGUUUUUCCGAAAAUCAAUUACGAAUGCUUUAGUUUUUAAGAAGUUAUGACUUCAUCGGCUUGCUCCUUUCUUUAUGAAACUUUCUUAAUGCACUUUUCGGUUAACAAGUCAACAUCAAUUUCUUUUGUUGUAAAAGGGUAUGAGGAAGGUGGCUUUCUUUUCGGAGAAAGUGUUUAUAGCCUUGUACCUCUGCAAUCGGAGAGAUUUGAGGUCUGCAGCGUAGAUCCUUCGGGGUUAGAUACAUUUGUGCUAAGUUAUAGCUUUUCAUAGACAACUUGUUGACUAUGUUUAGUCUUGUAGGCUUACUCGCUUACUGCUAUUUUACCUACGCUUAGGAUGUUGACGAGACUGUCGAUCUC
rnacentral:rRNA from 1 species